ACUCCUACGGGAGGCAGCAGCGACGAAUCUUCCGCAAUGCGCGAAAGCGUGACGGAGCAAUGCCGCGUGCGGGAUGAAGCGGCUCCGCCGUGUAAACCGCUGUCAGGGGUCAGAAACACUGAUCAGCCCCAAAGGAAGGGCCGGCUAACCUCGUGCCAGCAGCCGCGGUAAUACGAGGGGCCCGAGCGUUAAUCGGAAUCACUGGGCUUAAAGGGUGCGUAGGCGGAUGCGCAAGCGUCUUGUGAAAUACCUCAGCUCAACUGAGGAAUUGCAGGGCGAACUGCGUGUCUUGAGACAGGUAUGGGCCGUCGGAACGUUCGGUGGAGCGGUGAAAUGCAUAGAUAUCGAACGGAACGCCGAAGGAGAAGUCGGGCGGCUGGGCCUGUUCUGACGCUGAGGCACGAAAGCGUGGGGAGCGAACAGGAUUAGAUACCCUGGUAGACAUCAC
rnacentral:rRNA from 1 species